UUUCCAGUCUUCAGUAUUUUCUCUGCCUCUUGCAGUUCUUUUAGAGCAGCUUUGUGGCUGUUUUUCAUAGCAACCUGACUUGGCAGUAAAUCCAUCAUGUUGCUCUUCAUGUUGCAUCCUGGGAAUAAAAGACAAUCUUAUAUUAGUAUAUUAAGGGAAGGCAGAGUGAAGCAUUUGGCACUUACUCUUUGUAGAUCAUUCUGGAAAAGUGUAUAGUGUGUGUUUAUUCUCUUUUUCCAUAUUUAUACUUAAAUGAAGUGUUCAUUUUUCAAAAGAAUAAAAAAUAUUGAUAUUUCAAGCAUUUUUUUUUUUAGCUGUAGUCGUUUAUGGAUUUUGCAAUGUGUAUCGUUAGCCUGUUGAUUAACUAAUGAAUGAAUUAAUGUGAAUAAUUACUGUUAGAAUGAACUGUAACGCACCUCUCUGAAACAGAAACCUGCAGCACUCAGCGUGGUCUUCUGAAGCCGCCAAGUGCAAGGCUGUGUUUCCGUGCUUGUCCGUCACGUUUAAAUCAGCAGAGUACGCCGACAACAAUCUCAGCACCUGAAAUAAUCAUACAACGUUAAUAACAUCUCCAGGCUAACCGGAGACAUUAAGCAUUAACGUUGAGUUUAGACUAACCGGAUCAGCGACAUCCACAUCGGCUCCCCUCUCCAAAAGCAACAUGCAGAGGUUCUCACACUCUUUGGCCUGUUCACAGGCGGCCAUGAAGACAGAUUUGCCUGUGUAGGAGGUCGGCUUGAUGAUGGAUCAGAAACUUUACCAUGUCGACAUGGCCAUGCUUUGCAGCAUACAUUAUUGGGGUGCGUCCCUUUUUGUCCUGGAUAUCAGGAUGUGCAUUGAGGGACAGAAGGAAAUGAGCCAUCUCCACAUCAUUGUUCCGAGAGGCCAGGUGCAGGGCGCUGACCCCAUCUUCAGGCUCGGUCAGGUUGAUCAGACCUGAGACACCCAAGCGCACCAGCUUCUCUAUCUGCUCCUUCUUCUUGUGGUUCACCAGCUGAAGCAGUUUGUAAACCUGCUUGAUCUCCAAAGGACUUUCUGCUACGACGUUCCUCCUCAUCAGCACUGUCUGGGGAGUGCGCAGUCUCCCAGUAUCCUGUGUCUCACAAAUCUCAGACAUUUCUCCACCUGAAGAAAAAAAGGGUCACGUGAUACUUUAGUAGGCCUCGUUCCAGCCUAGGAUGGUCUGACAAAAAUAUGAAACAGAUUCACCUGACCAAAUCUAUUCAGUCUGCUGCACUGAUUAUCUGAAGGUGUUGAAUGUUAACAUGGUGUUCAUUUUGGUGUGAAAGAGUCACGACGUGUUGAUAAAGAUCAUGUCCGUUACUACAUGAAAAGUCUGUUUUUGGAAAAGUUCAACUCGAAUAAGUUUGGCGAAAAGCCUCUUAAAUCAUCGUUUCUAGCUCUGAAUCCGACCUCAGCACACAACAGUCUUUAUUUCACUCAAAGCUUUUCUUAUAUCUUUACUAAUAAUGCCGGAGAAACGGCUUGAUUUAAAGCCGCUUACAACAAGAAAAAAACACGUAGCCGAGGCUAUCCUUCUGAAAUGAACGAUAAUACUACUAACAAUAAUAUUAAUAUUAAUAAUAAUAAGCAAAACAAUAAUAAAACUCACCUUGUAAAAUA